rnacentral:lncRNA from 1 species
GAAGCCACAGAGACACUCGCUGGUAUUUGUUCUCCUGACUCUCCGAGGUCGUCUUCCAAAAAAACAGGAGGAAAAUCCUGCUCAGAAACAAAGUCUGCUGGGAAGCUGGACCCAAUGGCAUUCAGAGAAGACCUGAAUACUGGAUCAAAUUGAAUCCUUUCGUUGGCCAUGAACCGUACGUGGGUCAUACAGAACAAGAGGUGGCAGAUGACUGCUGGUCCCAUGAAGUGAUCAGCGGUGGUAUGAGAGUUUGAAAAAGUUGACCUGAAGGGAAGAUAAUCAUCUCAAUCUUUGCUGACUCUCAAGAAACAAUGCCAAUGUUUGCAAGCUGAACUUCAGCCUGCAUUUUCUUCCUGGGAUCUAAAGAUAGUUUACAUCACUUGGCAGUCUUCCUUACUGACCAGCAACAUUUAUUUUUACUGAUUUGCAGUCUGUGGUCAUCUGACCCAUUGACAUCAAAGGAGACAGGUGAUUAACGUUAGACGUGUGGCAGGUCCCUGAAAGCGCAAUCGGAUCAGAAGACAUAUGCAGCGUCUUCUCCUGAACUCAGAUAAGCAGUGACCACAAUAAUCUAUGUACAGAUGUUUGUACCAUGGAUAUUUUCCGGGAUCUGAGGGAUUAUUUCCCUACGCAAAUUAGAGUGGUCAUCUAGAAGUUAAGCCUAGACAAGUAACUU